UCCACAGUAGCUCAGUGGUAGAGCUAUCGGCUGGUAAACCAAUCGGUCGUAGGUUCGAGUCCUACCUGUGGAGCCA
rnacentral:tRNA from 1 species